GGCAGCGCCCCCUGCCCCGUCCGGAGCUCUCCGCCGCAGUGAUGGCGGCGACGGGGGCGGCGCAGCCGAGUCACCUGUGGGGCUUCUCACAACUCCACAGCCCCCUCCCCAAACCCUAGGUCACUCGUCCAGAGGAAGAAAAGAAGCAAUCUCAGCAGAUGCAGGGCCCGGCGCGCCGGUGGUGGAGUUUCCAAAAGCCCUACAGGUGAUGCCACCCCGACGCCCCGCGACGCUGGCCCUGGGUAGUCUCGACCCUCUCCGGCUCCGCAGCUUCCCCCGACCCCGCGGGACGGCCGGGGCUUCGGCGGCGAGACUUGGGAAAGUGUCCCCUGCUCUGCGCACCUCCCUCGCUGCGCGGACCGCGCGCUGGAUGCCAGAGCCACGAUGUGCUGGAAGAAAGGCAGAUUCCUCCCCGCUCCGUUUUCUGCCUUCAUUUGGGCUCCCUUCACCGAUCCACGGAAGGCGGUAGCCUCCUCGUCAUUCUCCCUGCCGUCCUUCAGGCAGCAGCCGUCCAGUCCAUACUGUCAGCCUUGGAGCCCGAAUGAUCUCUCCCAGUGCAGAUCUGAUCAGAUUCACUUUCCUGGGAUUUUAUCUUUUUUACAGUCUCCCCACUAUUUUCAAUAUGAAAUCUCAAGCUCCUUGCCCAAUCUGCAAGACUUGAUGAUUUGGGCCUUUCUUAUGCAAUUCUGAUGGCUUUCUCUCCUCUCCCCACUCCUCCCUAUGAUCCACACAUUUGGAACCACUGAAUUUGGAACUUUAAAUAGUCAUCAAUCCCUGUGACUCCCCUAAGAAUAUUUAUCCUCUACCCCUUUGAGGUUGAAGAAUCUGAGUUUCAAAUUACACAGCCGGAGACCCCUCCAGCCCCACUGAUAUGGGAUGUAGACAGAGGCAUUGGCCAAAGCCUGGAGAGACGCACACCCAGAGUCAGAGGGGAAAGAAGCAGAGUGAAGAACCUUUCUGAGAAGCCUGCUCAUCUGUAUGCUCCGAGAGCAGUGGAAGCCACAGCACAGGAAGCUUCAUUGGGAAGGGCCUUGUGAAUCAGUCCAGGCUCAUGGGCACAACUGUGAGCCUCGCUUAACCCAGGGCCCCCAUCCCAUUCCCUACUGUCCUUGCUUCUGUCCUGCUUGUGCAUGUGUGUCUGGAUGUGUGUGUGGUGUGCAUGCCCACACUGAAGAGGCAGAAGAGAUGAAGGUCCCUCUGCCCAUACCCAUUGGGAACUUAGCCCUGGGACUCUCUGCUCCCUCUCCCCUGAAGCUGCUUUGGAGUCCUCUCCCCCAGAUUGUUGGCAAAGCUGCUGAGCUUCUGAUUCAGUGACAUUUUACAGGAUCACUGUGUUCUCUCUUCAGAGCCAUUUGAGAUAGAACUGGGAACAGGAGGCCCACUGUCUCAGAGGAUUGCAUCAAGAACUGUGCCCCCGAGCAGCUGAAGACUGCAGGGUCUUGGAGCUGCAGGGACAGGAGGGAAGGAGCCAAUACUCCACCAGGCAUCCACUCUUUUCACAUACUAUCUUUUCAUGAAUCUCUGCAGUCGUGAUAGAAAGUACCCCCAAAAUGUCUCCAUCUGAAAGUAGAGGAAACUGAGGCUGAGAGGCAUAAAAGUGACUGGCCUAACACAUCAGUGAAUAAAUGGCCUGAAAGAUCUUUAACACUAGUCUGCUCUAAUUCUGCAUGAUGACUCUUCCUUUAUGUCAUGCAGUCAAGCCUUGCCACCAGCCAGAAUUUCUGAGAUGCAUCACUGGUUUAUAAAGCGGUGUCAAAUGGUAUGAGCAUGGAGGGGAUGACAUGUGUGCAGUGGGUCACAGCACUUCUCUUUCUUCAGACUCGAAGUCCAAGUUUUGUCAGAAAAUUCUCAUGGAAAGACAGACAGAUACCAGGCUGACCUAGCAUCCACUCAUUCUCUCCCUCUCUCUCUCUCUCUCUCUCUCUCUCUCUCUCUCUCUCUCUCUCAGUUUGGAAAAAGGAUUUGUAGGUCAUUUAGUCCAAAUUUCUAAUUCCUGAAUUAAAGUUGCAGUAUCUAAAGUAAAUAGCUUUCUAGCCUGUGCUUGGAGAUUUAUAGACUGUAAGGACUUUUACAAAGGGAGAAAUUAUUACCAGAGAUAAUGAAAUGAGGUGUGACCCUGACAAUGCAUAGGCUCACAGUGUAGGCAUCUGGAACUCUGUAGUGGCCGUGGUCAGCAUGGACAUGGUGCGGUGUUGGUAACAGUAAUGACAGUAGUAGUAGCAGUGAUGAUGGUUGUGCUGGAGGUCAGGGUGGUGAUGGAAAUGACUGUGACAGCAGUAAUGGGGUGGUGUGAGUCUUGAUGGUAGUAGCACCAGAGGUGGUAGAAGUUGGAGUGAUCCUGGAAGGAAAGCCCCAAGCAGAGGGUAAGUUCUUCCUGGGACAUCAACUAGUUGCCCAUACUGCCUGUAUUAAUCAUGCUUCUCUAGAGGAACAGAACCAAUAGAAAAUAUAUGCAUCAUGAUGCAAAGGGGUUAUUAGGUAGCUUACAGGGUCAGAGGUGGAGAAUCCACUGUGGCCAUCUCUGCACGCUGGAGAGCCAGGGCAUCCGGGAGCUGCUCAGCCCAUGAAGAUGGAGGCUGCAGAACAACAGGGAUCAAGGAUGAGGUGCAGUCCAAGCUCAGAGGCCCGGAAAGUCACUGGAGGGUUGCUGGUGCUAAUCUACAUCAGAAGGCUAAGGAAGAAACUGGAGACUUGGAGGCUGAUGUGCAAAGGAUUGGCCCUUCCAGGAAGACUGGGCCUCUUCAGAACUGGGACACUUCUUUAUUCUUUCCCUGCAAGCCUAUUGGUAGGUAGCGCCUACAUAGGAGGUGGGUCUCCCCUACCCAGUUUGCUGGCCUACAUGUCAAUCACCUUCAGAAACAGCCAGACCUGCACUUUACUAAUCUGGUAAGUGCUUCUUAAUUCAUUCAAAUAGACACAGUAUGAUUAAUAGUCACGCUGUCCCAGGGUAGCUCAUCCCUGUGAGGAGAAUGGAUAACUCCAUAGCAUUCUCCUGGCCUGUCCAGGUCAGGGAGCUGCUAGGCUGAAAUCUUGCCUGACACAGCCAAUGUCCUCCAUUCCAAGGUGGCCGGAACCCAGGGCCCUGAGGCCUGGCAGACUUUUCUAAGCUUUUGUAGAAAUGUUUAUGAUGGAAACAUAUUCAGGUCCACAGGCUGGGACAAGCCUACACACACACACACACACACACUCACACACACACACGCACAGAGUUUCUGCAGAAGCUGGUGGAGAGAGGAUGAGUGUGGCUAAGUGUGUGCCACAUGUCCAUCUCCGCCAUUCUGAUCCAGGUGGUUGCGCAAUGCUGGCAGCUUUGUCACUGACUCAGUCACUGAGACACCAGCAGCGAAAGCAACCAGUAUGCUGUUUGCCUCUCUGGAAUGCAAGCAUGCCAAAUGAAGAGUCACACAAUAUGGCCUCCUUGCAGCAAUGGAUGGCCUGCCCCCAGCUGGUGCCAGGUUUGCUUUCUGUUUAGUUCCAGUGCCCUCUCACUUGUCAGGAAUGACAUUUGGGAGACUUGACGGAGGAAACUCCAUUCUGUGAUAGAUAGGAACUGGUGACCCUGUGGCUAUGGGCAACGCUGGCUUAGUGUAGGCAUAGCCCAGAAUGACUCCUGCUAUUUACCAUACAAGAAAUCAAUGUAAAACAAUGACCCUUCCCCACAAGAGCAUAUGUGUUUCAUACUCCAAGCACCCCUCGAUCUGUCACCCCAAAUACGUUCAGCAGUAUUACCCAAAUCAUGGACUCACUAAAGUGCCUGCCUUCAAUAGGGUCCCUUAUUUCCUCCUGUACAGGAGUAAUAAUUUCAAGGGCAAGAAGAGAAAGUGCAUAUGAUGUCCUUCCUCUGUUGGUGCCUGGCCUGGGGAGAUUCUUAGAAAAUGUGUGCUCAAUGAAGGACAUGAUGACCGGGUGAUGUAGAUGUGGAAGCAUUUCUGUUUUUGCAAGGUCACAUUAACUUCUGUGCAGGGAAAGAGUCAGCUCGAAAGCUUUGAUGGCCUCUGGGAACAGAGAGCUCUACCCAGACCACACAUGGAAAGCUUCCAAAGGUGAAGGCCACGAGGACAGUCGCAGUGUCCUUGGCUGCAUAAAUGUGCACGACAACUGCAUGUGUUGGUACCUGGCAGUUCUUCGGAGACUAACUGUAAGGUCUUCUUUUAUAGCCUGGUUGCCUUUAUGAAGACAAGGGUCUGCCAGUGGCAGUGACAACCCUUGGAAUUUCUGGACAGUGAUUCAGAGAUUAGUCAUAUAUAGCACCCAGUCAUUUGUAGGUACAAAGCUUAGGCUCAGUGUGUACUUGCCAACAAUGUCCCUGUCACCCUGCUUGGCACCCAGCCCAUAUAUAACGAGAGGCUCUCAAAUUCCAACCGACUAUGGAAGCAGAGCCAGUGUUAAGGAAAUCGCCAUUUUACUUGUUAAAAUAAUACCCGGAUUCUGUAGCAGAUUCUUUCUAACAGAUUUUAUUCAGGCAUCCACCCAUUGCCAAGUUGGGGCAUUCUGCUGGCAUCUGUUGUGGAUCUAGGUGUGGG
rnacentral:lncRNA from 1 species